rnacentral:tRNA from 2 species
GGGCCUGUAGCUCAGCUAGGUAGAGCAUCUGGCUUUUAACCAGGUGGUCAUGGGUUCGAAUCCCAUCAGGCCCG